rnacentral:lncRNA from 1 species
AAAAUUUUCGAUUUUCUUUAUUUUAAGAUUAAUAUUAAAAAUAUUUUUUAAAUAUUUCAAGCGAAAUAAUCGUUAUUUCUGUAAAAUUACCAUUUUAUUCUUUCAAAUAUAUUUUUUUAUCAUCAUCAAUUUUUUUUUAUUUAUUCUUAAGUUAAGAGCAAUAGAAAUAUUUUGAUUUUUUACCUUUUCAAAUAUACUAUUUUGCUGUCACUAAAGUUUUUUAUUUGUCCUUAAGUUGGAGGCAAAAAAAAUAUUUUGAUUUAUUUUUAACUUUAGUAGAAAUUUAAUCCAAGAUAACGUAAUGAAUACUUACAGUGAAAUUAAUUGUAAAUAACAUAGAAAUAUCCGAGAGUUAUAUUUGAAAAAAAAAAUUCAGAAGUUUUGAAGGGUAUAUUAGAUAUUGUCUUUUUGGGGGCAAUUUUUUAAUGGUCUAAAAUGUGUUCAAGUACUUUAAAUUUAAACU